rnacentral:rRNA from 1 species
AACGAACGCUGGCGGCAGGCUUAACACAUGCCAGUCGAGCGAGUCCUUCGGGUCUAGCGGCGGACGGGUGAGUAACGCGUGGGAACGUGCCCUUCUCUACGGAAUAGCCCCGGGAAACUGGGAGUAAUACCGUAUACGCCCUUUGGGGGAAAGAUUUAUCGGAGAAGGAUCGGCCCGCGUUGGAUUAGGUAGUUGGUGGGGUAAUGGCCCACCAAGCCGACGAUCCAUAGCUGGUUUGAGAGGAUGAUCAGCCACACUGGGACUGAGACACGGCCCAGACUCCUACGGGAGGCAGCAGUGGGGAAUCUUAGACAAUGGGGGCAACCCUGAUCUAGCCAUGCCGCGUGAGUGAUGAAGGCCUUAGGGUUGUAAAGCUCUUUCAGCUGGGAAGAUAAUGACGGUACCAGCAGAAGAAGCCCCGGCUAACUCCGUG